rnacentral:rRNA from 1 species
GGGGAAUAUUGCACAAUGGGGGAAACCCUGAUGCAGCGACGCCGCGUGAGCGAAGAAGGCUUUCGGGUCGUAAAGCUCUGUCCUAAGGGAAGAUAGUGACGGUACCUUAGGAGGAAGCCCCGGCUAACUACGUGCCAGCAGCCGCGGUAAUACGUAGGGGGCGAGCGUUAUCCGGAAUUAUUGGGCGUAAAGGGUUCGCAGGUGGCCUGAUAAGUCAGAUGUGAAAGGCAGUGGCUCAACCAUUGCAAGCAUUUGAAACUGUCAGGCUUGAGUACAGGAGAGGAAAGCGGAAUUCCUAGUGUAGCGGUGAAAUGCGUAGAUAUUAGGAGGAACACCAGUGGCGAAGGCGGCUUUCUGGACUGAAACUGACACUGAGGAACGAAAGCGUGGGGAGCAAAC